rnacentral:lncRNA from 1 species
AGAAAUCUUAUUGUAUUACUAGCUUUUGUAAAGUGGGAUAAAAUUUGUUUUAAUAUGAGUAAAAAAUAAAUUAUAAAAUGUUAUCAAAGUUUCCAAAAAUAAAAGAUACGUGAAUUGAAUCUACAACACUGGUUUUAAAUGAGAAGCAGGAGUGUGAUUGCUUUGUGGAGUGCAUAUGAAGAACCAGAAAAUAUUGUUGUGUUUUCAUUUUUGUUUUCAAAUUAAUAUUACCAAAUCAUAUUAUUUUUUCUUCUGGGGAUCCUUAAUUCAGGUAAAAAAAGAAUAGUUUACUAAUCGCUCCAGGGGAUUUUAUGUAUUCUUCUGCCUUUUCUAAGAGUGUGAUAUGUUUUAAAAUUUGAAGAACUUUCAUUUGUAUGGGUGAUGUAUAAGAAGUAUAGCAUGUAAUGAUGAGGAAAUGUGCUAUAGCCUCAAUUGACCAAAUAGAAGAAUAAAGGUAGUACAGAGAAAAACUAAUAGUGUUUUGCGUUUUUAAUGAUUUACGUAAGUAAAUGCAUUAAAAUGGUUUUGAUUAAGUUGGCUAUAUUCGUUCUCAAGGUGCUAAUAAAGACAUAUCCAAGACUGGGUACUUUAUAAACAAAAGAUGUUUAAUUGACUCACAGUUCCACAGGGUUCGGGAGACUUCGGGAAUCUCACAACCAUGACUGAAGGGGAGGCAAACAAGUCCUUCACAUGGCAGCAACAAAGAGAAGUGCCAAGCAAAAGGCAGAAAAGCACCUUGUGAAAUCAUCGGAUCUCUUGAGAACCUACUUACUUACUGUCAAGAGAGCAGCAUCACGAUGGCUGACUAGAAGCAUUUCAAGCAUUCCUCCUCCACUUGGCAGAACCAAAAUAGUAUGUGGACAAUCACACUUUGAAUACAUUACUCAGGAAGGAACACAGGAGUUCAACAGAAAGUUGAAGGGAAGUCUUCAAAUCUGGGAGGAAAAAAGAAAAUGGGCAGCCUGAGUGGCCAAGAUCAGCCAAGACCUGGGUGCAAAUCCUCAAUAUGGAAAAGGGUGAGUGAAUGUGCUUCCGUGGUCCACUUUCCUACUGUGGAAUUGUGCGAGUUGAGGAACAAGGGGAGUACCUAACCCUCCCAAUCUCUGAAUCUAGCUUGAGAAGCAGCCAGAAUACUGUGAGAAAGAAUUGCUUCAGGAGUGUUGCAUGCCCUUUUAUAGACCUGGGAUGCUAUUCUUGAGCCCACCUCCAAGCCAACUGUGCAUGGUCCUUGAGAGUAGCAGCAUUGGUCCUGGCUGGUAGGGAUGCUUAGAGGCAAUUAUGGAAAUGGGACUUUACUGCAGGAUGGGUUACCACAAGUAGUUCUGAGAAUUGAGUGUGGAGUGAGAUCUAGCCACUGGUGGAGCUGGGCACCCUGAGGAUUGCCUUGUCCUGUCCUGACAAGCAUGGUGCCUGUACCUACCACUAGGAGGCCUGGGUUCAAGGUUGCCUGGUUCAGCUCUGCCAAACUUCUCCCCACUCUCUGAGACAGUGUGGGAUCCAUGCUCAUGGGUGUUCCACAAAUCAAUCCACCACGUGGGACACCCAAGUACUUCCCUCAGGGAACAUAGGUCAGAUUUAUACAUCCUACCACUACCCCCACAGCUGUAUUAUUAUUAUUGUUUUUUUACCUGUCAGUGCCACCUACUGGCCUAGAGGAUAGCCCAUGUAUUUCAUUACCAUUAUAACAACUGCUAGCACAAAAACACUCAGGAACUACAAAAGGAUCUCAUGACCACUGCUACUGCCAUCACCCACAACACCCCAGGUUCCAAGGAUGCCAAAAGCCCACUCACCUCCUUAGUGCACCACUGCUACUACUGGCAUCUGAGAAAGCCACUCAGAAGCCCAGGAACCAGCCUGCCGGGAACUGCCACCUCAGGCGCCAGCAUACAUGACCCCAGAUCACAAUGAUAAACAUGCUGAGCCCACCACUACUAUGAAUGAAACCUGAAGAGCUUUUAGGCAUUCUAGUCCUCAGCACAACUUCCCCACAUCCCCCACCCAUGGCUGCACCCUAACUACUGAGCAACCCACAGAUACCAAGGCUAGGUAUAGCCAAAGAAAUCUUUUUAUUAUU